rnacentral:tRNA from 1 species
UUCAAUUACUUUUUCGUAGCAAGUUUUUUGUUUAAAAAGGAUUUUGAAAAUCUUUUAAGGAUGUAAAAAAAAU